rnacentral:rRNA from 1 species
UACGAAGGGGGCUAGCGUUGUUCGGAAUUACUGGGCGUAAAGCGCGCGCAGGCGGUCUUCCAAGUCAGUGGUGAAAUCUCUGAGCUUAACUCAGAAACUGCCAUUGAUACUAUGUUUCUUGAAUUUUCUGGAGGUCAGCGGAAUAUGUCAUGUAGCGGUGAAAUGCUUAGAUAUGACAUAGAACACCAAUUGCGAAGGCAGCUGGCUACAGGGAUAUUGACACUGAGGCACGAAAAGCGUGGGGGAUCAAAACAGG